GUGAAUCAUCGAAUUUUUGAACGCAUAUUGCACUCUCUGGUAUUCCGGAGAGUAUGUCUGUUUGAGGGUCAGUUAAAUAAAAAUCGGGGUUUUUGCCACCUUUGGUGGUGACGCUUCGGAAUUGGGUCGUCUUUACCUUUCGGUUAAGUGACUGAAAAUUUUUUGUAUGAUAUCUGAACGUAUUUAAAUUAUUUGGUUCGGUUUGGUAUAUUGGAUGGUUAUUUGGGGGGAUCCUC
rnacentral:misc_RNA from 1 species